CAGCCGCCGCGGUAAUACAGAGGGUUCGAGCGUUAAUCGGAUUUACUGGGCGUAAAGCGUGCGUUGUCGGCUUUUUAAGUCGGAUGUGAAAUCCCUGAGCUUAACUUAGGAAUUGCAUUCGAUACUGGGAAGCUAGAGUAUGGGAGAGGAUGGUAGAAUUCCAGGUGUAGCGGUGAAAUGCGUAGAGAUCUGGAGGAAUACCGAUGGCGAAGGCAGCCAUCUGGCCUAAUACUGACGCUGAGGUACGAAAGCAUGGGGAGCAAACAGGAUUAGAUACCCCAGUAGUCCCUGUCUCUUAUAC
rnacentral:rRNA from 1 species